UGCAAGUCGAGGGGUAACAGGAGUGCUUGCACUUGCUGACGACCGGCGCACGGGUGCGUAACGCGUAUACAACUUACCUUUAUCUGGGGGAUAGCCCGGAGAAAUUCGGAUUAAUACUCCAUAGUAUUAUAAGACAGCAUUGUUUAAUAAUUAAAGAUUUAUCGGAUAGAGAUAGGUAUGCGUCCCAUUAGCUAGUUGGUGUAGGUAACGGCUCACCAAGGCGACGAUGGGUAGGGGUUCUGAGAGGAAGGUCCCCCACACUGGCACUGAGAUACGGGCCAGACUCCUACGGGAGGCAGCAGUAGGGAAUAUUGGUCAAUGGAGGCAACUCUGAACCAGCCAUGCCGCGUGAACGAUGAAUGCCUUCGGGUUGUAAAGUUCUUUUGUAUGGGAAGAAACACACUCUUGCGAGAGUGCUUGACGGUACCAUAAGAAUAAGCACCGGCUAACUCCGUGCCAGCAGCCGCGGUAAUACGGAGGGUGCAAGCGUUGUCCGGAAUUAUUGGGUUUAAAGGGUGCGCAGGCGGUUUUGUCAGUCAGAGGUUAAAGGCCGGAGCUUAACUCCGAGUUUGCCUUUGAUACUGCAAGACUUGAAAUACAUAUGGGUAAGCGGAAUUCCUCAUGUAGCGGUGAAAUGCACAGAUAUGAGGAGGAAGACCAAAGGCGAAGGCAGCUUACUGGGUGUUAUUUGACGCUGAGGCACGAAAGCGUGGGGAGCGAACAGGAUUAGAUACCCUGGUAGUCCACGCCGUAAACGAUGAGAACUCGACCUGUGUGGUUUAACCAUGCGGGUCCCAGCGAAAGCGAGAAGUUCUCCACCUGGGGAGUACGCCGG
rnacentral:rRNA from 1 species